UGAAAUCAGAUUAAAUCGAUCCCACCUGUAGGGGACUGAGGGCUUUCAAAAGACUCUACUUAAACCAGCUGUCAGAGGCACCUCAGCCCUUCCCUUCAUGGGCAAAAAAUAGAGAUGCAUUGAGGUCUUUGGCUUUCUAUGUGUAAGCUGACAGUAGGAAUCAUCAGCCCAACACUGUUCCUAAUGUAAGAGAACAAGGGAAAUACUUCUAUCAAAAUUUGAACAACCCAUUUUGGAGGCAGUGGAUGGCAGAGUUGCUGAAGUGCCUCAGUUUCCCUCUCACUGGGCAGUGAGAAAACACAGAGCUGCUCCAGCACUGAGUGAACAUCCUACACACAGCAACACUCCUCAGGGGAAUGAGGCCAUGUGAGUCAUGAAUGGAUGGUCCUGAGCU
rnacentral:lncRNA from 1 species